GAUGAACGCUGGCGGCGUGCCUAACACAUGCAAGUCGAACGAACGGACGAUAAGCGUGCUCUUCUGCUGUUAGCGGCGGGCGGGUGAGUAACACGUGGAUCACCUACCUCUAUUACUUGGAUGACUUCGUGAGACCGCUGAUGCUACCGCAUAAUACUUCCAACCGCAUGAUUCAAGAGUGCUUGGCAGUCUUGCUGUUUCUAUUAGCUGGAUCCGCGUUGCAUUAGCUAGUUGGUAAGGUAACGGCGUACCAAGGCAACGAUGCGUAGCCGACCUGAGAGGGUGAUCGGCCACACUGGAACUGAGACACGGUCCAGACUCCUACGGGAGGCAGCAGUAGGGAAUCUUCCGCAAUGGGCGAAAGCCUGACGGAGCAAUGCCGCGUGAGUGAAGAAGGUCUUCGGGUCGUAAAACUCUGUUAUUGGGGAAGAACAGAUGUGUAAGUAACUGUGCACAUCUUGACGGUACCUAAAGAGAAAGCCACGGCUAACUACGUG
rnacentral:rRNA from 1 species